GACAGAGGGUGCAAGCGUUGUUCGGAAUUACUGGGCGUAAAGCGCGUGUAGGCUGCUCAGCAAGUCGGAUGUGAAAGCCCUGGGCUUAACCUAGGAAGUGCAUUCGAAACUUCUGAGCUAGAGUUCUGGAGAGGAAGGCGGAAUUCUCGGUGUAGAGGUGAAAUUCGUAGAUAUCGAGAGGAACACCGGUGGCGAAGGCGGCCUUCUGGACAGUGACUGACGCUGAGACGCGAAAGCGUGGGGAGCAAACAGG
rnacentral:rRNA from 1 species